GAUGAACGCUGGCGGCGUGCUUAACACAUGCAAGUCGAACGGAAAGGCCAGUGCUUGCACUGGUACUCGAGUGGCGAACGGGUGAGUAACACGUGGGUGAUCUGCCCUGUACUUCGGGAUAAGCUUGGGAAACUGGGUCUAAUACCGGAUAGGACAACUUUUUGGAUAUUGUUGUGGAAAGCUUUUGCGGUAUGGGAUGAGCUCGCGGCCUAUCAGCUUGUUGGUGGGGUAAUGGCCUACCAAGGCGUCGACGGGUAGCCGGCCUGAGAGGGUGUAGAGACGCACUGGAACUGAAAGACGGCCCAGACUCGUACGGGAGGGAGCAGGGGGGAAUAUUGCACAAUGGGAGCAAGCCUGAUGCAGCGACGCCGCGUGGGGGAUGAAGGCCUUCGGGUUGUAAACACCUUUCGCUAGGGACGAAGCUUUUUUGUGACGGUACCUGGAGAAGAAGCACCGGCUAACUACGUG
rnacentral:rRNA from 1 species